CCCUUAGAUGUUCUGGGCCGCACGCGCGCUACACUGAUGCAUUCAACGAGUCUAAAACCUGCUCUGAUAGGGGUGGGUAAUCUUUUGAAUGUGCAUCGUGAUUGGGAUAGAUGAUUGCAAUUUUUCAUCUUCAACGAGGAAUGCCUAGUAAACGCAAGUCAUCAGCUUGCAUUGAUUACGUCCCUGCCCUUUGUACACACCGCCCGUCGCUCCUACCGAUUGAAUGAUCCGAUGAAUAUCAUGGAUUGAGGAUGCAAGCAGGAUCGCCUGUCUUCAUCUUCGAGAAGUGAAGUAAAUCUUAUCAUUUAGAGGAAGGAGAAGUCGUAACA
rnacentral:rRNA from 1 species